rnacentral:rRNA from 1 species
UACGUAGGGGCCGAGCGUUGUCCGGAGUUACUGGGCGUAAAGCGUGCGCAGGCGGCGCGUUCUGCCCGGCGUGAAAGCCCCCGGCUCAACCGGGGAAGGUCGUCGGGGACGGGCGCGCUUGGGGGCGGCAGGGGCUGGUGGAACUCCCGGUGUAGUGGUGAAAUGCGUAGAGAUCGGGAAGAACACCUGUGGCGAAGGCGGCCAGCUGGGCCGACCCUGACGCUGAGGCACGAAGGCGUGGGGAGCGAACAGG